UGGCAGCGAAUACCACAUAAAUGAAUGCGACAGGAGGGGUCUGGGAAGGGUCGAGGGGCAGGAGGGGUGAAACUGUUGGGGACAGUCAGGGUCUACCAGGGAGAAACAUACUUUCCAGAUCUGCAGCCUGAGGGAGGGCAGAGGUCAUGCUGCUUAAGGCUCUCUUUCAUGGAGACCACUGGGUUUUGUGCCUGCUUUAGGCUCCUAGGCACCUGAAACCCACACACCUUGGAAGGGCAGCUCCAAGGUCUUCUUUAAGAAAGCGAAACAAAAAACUUCAGUUAGUUUACAAAUCCUUUUACAUUGUCUCUUUUAGAGCACCCUAUUGGGCGCUUUAAAGGGAUUUAGCUAAGGAAACCAAGUACAUUUUUCUACUUGUGCACUUAAAAUUUUAUAGGUUUGAGGGUUUUGCCUGCAUGUAUUUUCAAUGUACCACACACACAUAGGAAGAGGGUGUUGGAUCUCCUGGAGAGAUUGAGUCAUGGAGCUCCUAGGUAGUCUAAGUGGUAACUAAUAACUAACAGUGAUUGGGGUAGGAUUCAAAUCCAAGCUGAGAUCAUUCUAAUAGGUGUUUUCCUGUAAUACAGAGAGGCUUCUCUGAGGAAGGAUGAAGCUUGUGAUAGACCACUUUCCUUGAAUGGGACAGCCAUGCUCUAUAUGCCUAGCACAGCAAAUGAACACCUAAGUAGAGAAAUAAGUAAAUAAGAACAUUUUAGAUUUUUCUCUUAUAUCAGAAGGAAAUGCACUUUGCCAUAUAGUAUUUACACUUGAAUGUGACUUUACAUAGUAAUCUUUAAUUUCCUAAAAUGUCCUCUCAAUUUGUAGGACAGCGCUCCACUAUGCCUGUGCACACAACCACCCGGACAUGGUAAAAUUAUUAUUAUCUAAUGACUGUACGAAUAUAAAUGUACAAGAUGACGAAGGCCGCACGCCCUUAAUUAAGGCGACCCAGUGGGACAAUGUGGAAUGCGUGAAUAUACUACUCACGCAGGGUGCUGAUCUCCACAUCACAGAUUUUGUUGGGGAUGCAGCCCUCCUCCAUGCAGUACUCAGAGGGAACAUCAUUAUUGCUGGAAAACUGCUUAAAUACCGGGCUAAUAUUAACGCCAAAACAAAGUAUGGGUUGACCCCAUAUCAACUUGCGUUAUAUAAAAGACAUCAAGAAAUGGCGGAUUUUUUAAUAAAACAAGGUGCAGAGGCACAUUUGGUGCUUAAGCCAAAUAGGUACUGUUUCUCCUUUUUACAAUCUUAGCGCUGUUCUUGAGGGUGACAUUGCUUAAGUAAUGAACACUAAAGUGGUAGAAGGAAUAUGGCUUCAACUCAGAAGCGCAUAUUGAGAAAGCCUAGCUCAUAGGGAGUGUGAAUGAGACUCUUCCAACAUAAACAAAGGAACAGUGUGUACGAGGGCUCAGCUUCCCGUUUAAAAACAAGUUUGUCAUUUCUAAUCUGAUUUGAUUGGCAAUUUUCUACUAGUUAAGGCAACUUCACAUUAAUGUUGUUCACAUUGAAAAGUGUCAACUUUAUUUUCAACACUGAAAUUAAUAAUUUAAGUAUUUUUAUUCUGUUCCUUAUAUAUUUUCAAUAAACUACGUUAAACAUAGUUUUUUAAAAUCAUGUUGUCUCUUUGAUCACUCACUCUGCUUUAAAUGAAUUUUGAACAAGCAAAUACAUUAGGUUAUCCAUCAAUUAAAUGAUAUUGCCAGAUGCUGUUAUUGUUUUCUUCUGUCCUGUUUGAAAUGUCCUGACACUGUGUUGGUCAGAUAUGAAUCUGUGUACCCAAACUCCUGAACUAGCUAAUCUGCUUAGGGACACUUGUCCACAAUGAGUACAAAGAACUAAGACUCCAUUGAGAAAAUGCCUCCAUAAGAUCUAGUUGUAAGGCAUUAUUUUUAAUUAGUGAUUGAUGGAUGAGGACCUAGCACAUCGUAGGUGGUGCUGUCCCAGGGCUCGUGGUCCUGAGUUCUAUAAGAAAGCAGGAUGAGCAAGCCAGUAAGCAGCUUCCCUCCAUGGACUGUGUAUCAGCUACUGCCUCCAGCUUCCUUCCCUGUUUGAGUUCCUGCCCUGACUUUCUUUAAUUAUGGACUAUGAUGUGGACAUAUAAGCAAAUGAAUCCUUUUGUCCCCAAGCUCAUAUUGCUCAUGGUGUUUUAUCACAGAAAUAACAGCUCUAAAUAGGACACCAGGUAUUCAAGAUGAGUUCAGGUUUAAAACUCAAAUGAUUCCUUUUUUUGUUCCCACAUGUAAGUUUAAUGUCAGAUGAAUUAAAAAGUAAAGACUGUGUGUGUGCUUUAUUUUUAUUGUAAAUACAUUUUUGUACAUACUAUAUAUUCUAAACAUAGUUUAGAAUCCCUCAUCUUCAUGUACUUGUUUUUGUGUCAGGGGACACACAUUCCUUGAUAUUCCCACCCAAGAUACAGAACAACAUGUGUGAUGUCUUUGCCUUCCAUCUUAUUUGAGGCAAGUCUUCUAUUUUUAUUUGUCAUUUGACCACUUACUCCAGGUGUCCUUUAAAAUGGCUCAGAAAUGCCAUUGAGUAUAAAGAGUUUCAUCAUAUACUUGUGGACUGACUAUCAAAAGGCCACAUCAAGGCACCAAAAUAUGGUGACUUCUGAGAUUCUUGGCGGCUUAAUGCUUAGACAUAGAGUCUAUUUUGUGUUUUACCAAAGCAACUCCUUGGGAGAGAGUGUGAGACUAAAUAAAAUGCCUAAAAAAUUUAUUGACAGAAAACAGGCCAACAUGCUUUAGGGUUGGGGAAAAAAUGAAAUAGGAGCCUUAAGUGCUUAGAGCACAGAACAAUCAGUUACUGCAACCAUCAGAACAAAGUGUGUGGAAA